AUUGAACGCUGGCGGCAGGCCUAACACAUGCAAGUCGAGCGAGCGGCGGACGGGUGAGUAAUGUAUGGGGACUGCCCGAUAGAGGGGGAUAACUACUGGAAACGGUGGCUAAUACCGCAUAAUAUCGGAUAACCCACAUGGGAUUAGCUAGUAGGUGGGGUAAAGGCUCACAUAGGCGACGAUCUCUAGCUGGUCUGAGAGGAUGAUAAGCCAAAUCGGAACUUAAAAAAGGACCAGGCUCCGACGGAGGCAGCAGUGGGGAAGAAUGCACAAUAGUCAGAAGCCUGAUGCAGCCAUACCGCUUGAAUAGAGAGGGCGUUAGAGUUGUAAAUUACUGUCAGCGGAAGGGCGUUACCCGCAGAAGAAGCACCGGGUAACUCCGUGACAGCAGCCGCGGUAAUAC
rnacentral:rRNA from 1 species